rnacentral:sRNA from 1 species
UUGGGCAAUUCCUUGUCCGACCUAGCGCUGGCACCUUAGCGCGGGUUUCUUACAAUAUAUAAUUUCAUGAGAAUGAGUGAAAUGAGGGAGUGUGGUCAUCGAAUAGAUGCAGGGUUUCUUCUUGACUUUUAGAACUACAUUUGAACACUAGUUAUUUUGCAUGUAAAGCUGAUGUAUGCAUUAGCAUUAAACUUGUUAAAAAUUAGUCAAUUCUUGGCCAGGUGUAAAUAGCCUACUUCUGGGUGUAAAUAUCCAUCCCUGGUGGAGGAAUGCUGGACACUGCAGAUUUUAGGGAAAUGCAGAGAUUAGGGCAGGCAGGAAUUCAAGCCAAAGCCAUCGGUUGGCUGUUGGCAGUUGCCGGGAUAGCUGCUCGACUGCAUAAUCACGCACACAUGCCGCAGGUCUUGUGAGCGGGGAGUGCAUCAAAGAUACAGACAAUGGCUACCAUUGCUAUCAUGACCCUCAGCGGGUUCUGUCUUUGAUGCGACACGUCUGUUUCCCGGCUGGAAUUGGCGAUGGCCGCUACUGAUGUUGGUUGUCGUUUUUCUUCGGCCAGCAAUAGAUCUUUGGAACCUUG